rnacentral:rRNA from 1 species
GAUGAACGCUGGCGGCGUGCUUAACACAUGCAAGUCGAACGGAAAGGCCACAGCUUGCUGUGGUACUCGAGUGGCGAACGGGUGAGUAACACGUGGGUGAUCUGCCCUGUACUUCGGGAUAAGCUUGGGAAACUGGGUCUAAUACCGGAUAGGAAUCACAUGUGUGUGUGUGGUUGGAAAGCUUUUGCGGUAUGGGAUGAGCUCGCGGCCUAUCAGCUUGUUGGUGGGGUAAUGGCCUACCAAGGCGUCGACGGGUAGCCGGCCUGGGAGGGUGUACGGCCACAUUGGGACUGAGAUACGGCCCAGACUCCUACGGGAGGCAGCAGUGGGGAAUAUUGCACAAUGGGCGCAAGCCUGAUGCAGCGACGCCGCGUGGGGGAUGACGGCCUUCGGGUUGUAAACUCCUUUCGUCAGGGACGAAGCGAAAGUGACGGUACCUGGAUAAGAAGCACCGGCUAACUACGUG